rnacentral:rRNA from 1 species
UACGGGAGGCAGCAGUGGGGAAUAUUGCACAAUGGGCGAAAGCCUGAUGCAGCUAUGCCGCGUGUAUGAAGAAGGCCUUAGGGUUGUAAAGUACUUUCAUCGGGGAGGAAAAACAAAACUAAUAAUUUUAUUUCUUGACGUUACCCGAAAAAGAAGCACCGGCUAACUCCGUGCCAGCAGCCGCGGUAAUACGGAGGGUGCUAGCGUUAAUCAGAAUUACUGGGCGUAAAGAGCACGUAGGUGGUUUUUUUAAGUCAGAUGUGAAAUCCCUGGGCUUAACCUAGGAACUGCAUUUUGAAACUGAAAUACUAGAGUAUCGUAGAGGGAGGUAGAAUUCUAGGUGUAGCGGUGAAAUGCGUAGAUAUCUGGAGGAAUACCUGUGGCGAAAGCGGCCUCCUAAACGAAUACUGACACUGAGGGUGCGGAAAGCGUGGGGAGGCAAACAGGGAUUAGAUACC